UACGGAAGGGGCAAGCGUUGUUCGGAAUUAUUGGGCGUAAAGAGCUCGUAGGCGGUUUGUCACGUCUGCUGUGAAAUCCCGAGGCUCAACCUCGGGCCUGCAGUGGGUACGGGCAGACUGGAGUGCGGUAGGGGAGAAUGGAAUUCCUGGUGUAGCGGUGGAAUGCGCAGAUAUCAGGAGGAACACCGAUGGCGAAGGCAGUUCUCUGGGCCGUAACUGACGCUGAGGAGCGAAAGCGUGGGGAGCGAACAGG
rnacentral:rRNA from 1 species